rnacentral:rRNA from 1 species
GGCGGCGUGCUUAACACAUGCAAGUCGAACGAUGAACCUCACUUGUGGGGGGAUUAGUGGCGAACGGGUGAGUAACACGUGAGUAACCUGCCCUUGACUCUGGGAUAAGCCUGGGAAACUGGGUCUAAUACCGGAUAUGACCUUCCAUCGCAUGGUGGUUGGUGGAAAGCUUUUGCGGUUUUGGAUGGACUCGCGGCCUAUCAGCUUGUUGGUGGGGUAAUGGCCUACCAAGGCGACGACGGGUAGCCGGCCUGAGAGGGUGACCGGCCACACUGGGACUGAGACACGGCCCAGACUCCUACGGGAGGCAGCAGUGGGGAAUAUUGCACAAUGGGCGGAAGCCUGAUGCAGCGACGCCGCGUGAGGGAUGACGGCCUUCGGGUUGUAAACCUCUUUCAGUAGGGAAGAAGCGUAAGUGACGGUACCUGCAGAAGAAGCGCCGGCUAACUACGUGCCAGCAGCCGCGGUAAUACGUAGGGCGCAAGCGUUAUCCGGAAUUAUUGGGCGUAAAGAGCUCGUAGGCGGUUUGUCGCGUCUGCCGUGAAAGUCCGGGGCUCAACUCCGGAUCUGCGGUGGGUACGGGCAGACUAGAGUGAUGUAGGGGAGACUGGAAUUCCUGGUGUAGCGGUGAAAUGCGCAGAUAUCAGGAGGAACACCGAUGGCGAAGGCAGGUCUCUGGGCAUUAACUGACGCUGAGGAGCGAAAGCAUGGGGAGCGAACAGGAUUAGAUACCCUGGUAGUCCAU